rnacentral:siRNA from 1 species
UUUGGUAUACCGGAGUUCGUAC